UGUGUUGUGUGGACCAGUGGGAUCACACCUGUGCCUAUGGGAGUGUGUGGUGGUGGUGAUGGUGGUGGUGGGCAGUGUGUUACAUCUGUGGUGGCAGCCGUGCCCUUGUGUGCUGUGAGGGAGUAAUGGCCCCAGCACUCGUUUUGCUGGCAGUGCAGGUGUGACUUUCAGUAAGUGUAUGUGUACUGUGAUGCAUUCUGUUCACCAGACUCGGGCCAGCAAUGAGACACUGGUUUCUGAGUCUGUUAGCACACUGAGAACCUUGCCGGUUGGAGGCAUGUCUUGGAAGCUUGGAGGUGGUGGUUUAAGAGUGAGGGUUUCUUCUAGUGUCCUCCCACCCUGCCUAGACAGACCGAGGUUGUGUCGGGGAUCUUGGCAGCCAAGGAGUUGGUAGCCUUGCGCCUUCCUCCCGAAAAAGGUGUUUGGCUACUCCUGCCCUCCAUGUCCUCGGCUGUGACUCCUCGGUGAGCAGGAAACUUUAUCAUAGUGAAGGAGUGCACUGCUGCUUGUCACAGCGGUUGUUGGAUACAGACAGGCCUCUGCAACUGGAUGUUAUCAGCAGGGGGUGCUACAUCCACCAGACUGUUCAAGUGGAUACAAUCUGGCAAUGGGGUAGGACUUAGCCAGAUGUCAUCGACAAUAUAAAUAAGUAGGUAUAAAAAUGAAUCCAGUGAAGCUGGCAAAGAAUGAAAAUAUAAAUGUAUAAACGAUGUAUUGGAAUACAUAGAAAUGGGCAAAUAAACAUAACAAAAGUGAGACCCGGGCCAUCACCAGAGAAGUGGGGAGUGGGGCUUGAAGCGGUUCGCCCGAGGACUUUGGUGGGCUAGACCACUUAUGCAGGGUAUAGACGUCAGCCCCACCCUCCGAUAUCUCGGUGGGCCCUGAGGGCCGCAACGGACCCCUCCACCCCCCGGAUGGUUAAGAGGUGGAGCUCAGCCUUGAUCAGGCCAGAGUCCAGGCUGCCACCCUGCCUGGCACUGACCACUCCAGCCGGGUUUCCUGAGGGUCCGUGCAGGAUGGUACAUGGUGUGUGCUGCUGGGAGCAGUGCUGUGGUGGAGUCUGUGAAGCUGGGCAGCAACCUAAGUGGCCAGUAGUAGUAGUAGUAGUAGUAGCAGCAGCAGCAGCAGCAGCAGCAGCAGCAGCAGCAGCAGCAGCAGCAGCAGCAGCUGUCUGUCUGUCUCAGGUGUAGGGAGGCACAGGCAUGAUGACAGAAAUCACCAAGAGGCAGGCAGCUCCAGUCACAUAGGAGAGGCCAAGUUUGAGUGUCAGCUGUGUGAUAAAACUUCUAAAUGUAGAAAUGGGUGGAGUUACCACGCCCUGACACACAAAAGUGUUAGGGAUUAUGAGAGUGAUGAGUGUGGGAAGAAAUUUAUCUUGAAGAGUUCCCUCGCCACAAACACCCUGACACACAGUGGUAUCAGGAAUUAUGAGUGAGAAGAGUGUGGGAAGAAAUUUACCCAGAUAGGUAACCUAACUGGACACACCCCAACACACAGUGGUGUCAGAAAUUAUGAAUGUGAUCAGGGUUGUGCUGUUGCAGGUGAAGGAAGGGAAGGAGUAUGUCCUGGCUUACUACAGUGCAAAGUUCAGCAAGCCAGAACGAAACUACUGCGUAACCAGGAAGGAGUUACUGGCAAUAGUGCGGAAUCUGGCCCACUUCCACUCCUACCUCUAUGGGGCUAAGUUUGUCAUCCAGACUGAUGAUACUGCUCUCCAGUAGCUGAAAACUCAGAAGGACCUGGAAGGACAGUUGUUGAGUUGGCUGGGCUAACUGGAGGAGUACAACUACUGUGCGGUGCACUGGCCAAGGCGGAUUCACAGCAGUGUAGACAGCUUGAACUGCCAACCUUGCAAGCUGGGGUGCCUGCACUGCUCCAGAUGUGAAGAAGCUGUUACCUGCUGCUGCCUGCAAGUGGAAGGUGGACCAGCAAGGCUAGCCAGUGGUGGAGGGAUGCGCAGCAAGCAGACCCUAACCUUGCCCCAGUGAUGCAAUGGGUGGAGGAGGGUGAGUGGGUGGGCAAGGAGGAAUUGUCACUGGAGAGUCCUGCCAUGAAGGUUCUGGUAGAGCAGUGUGUGAUGCUUGAGGCUGCAGGAUGGUGUGUUGUAGCAAUGCUGAGAGGAUGCAGCCAUGGAGGAGCUUGCCUGGUUACUGGUGGUUCCUCUUGCUCUUCAUGCUGAGCUGCUUGAGGAAACUCAUGAGGAUGUCUCUGGUGGGCUCAUGGGACAAAAGAAGACUCUCUGCAGUCUUUGUCAGGGUGUGUACUGGAUUGGCAUGAGAUGGGAUGUGGAAGAAUGGUGCAAGUUAUGCUGCACCUCUACUGCCAAGAAAGGUACUGCACACCAUACAUGUGUUUUAUCAGAUCAUGGAGUGGGUGGCGGUGGAUAUUGCUAGACCACUGCCUUGCACACCUCAAGGUAAUUGCUACAUUCUGGUGGCCAUGGACUACUUCUACAAGUGGCCAGAAGCAUAUGGGAUCCUGGAUCACAAGGAAGAGACUGUAGUUGGCAUGCUGGUGAGAAAAUUUUUCACCAGGUUUGGGAUCCUGGGAGAACUACACUCUGAUCAAGGUAGGGAGUUUUGAGUCCUGGGUGUUCAAGCAAUGUUGUGAGUUGUUGGGGGUGCACUACUAUGGGUUUCACUGGCCGUGUUACACUGUUUUUCGCAAAUAAUUCCUAAACAAAUUGUCGGAUCAGUAUGGUAUUUCAACACCAAGCCUUUUACACCCCUACAUAAUUUAUGGCCCACAUAUCAUAUUGCUAUAUGCGUUUACGAAGGAGUUUACUCUUGUAUAUUAAGCCGAAGCCAGGAGGUCACGUCUACACUUUCAGAGGACGCAUCCCCACCCCCCAAACACCCCCACCACCCUCCCAUAUUUCCCCCCUCCAUCCUCCUUUCGUAUCCCUCCCCGUCUCCUCCUUACCCUCCCCUCCCCUCAUUACUCAAUUUCCUGCCUCUUCCAUUAUGUUAUACCGUUUACUUUAUGUACUGUACUUAUAGCUACAUAUGUCAUAUAGGUAUGCAUCUAAGUAAUGCAGUGUGUGCAGCUUUCAAUAUUACUUAACAUGUAACGUGGGAGUACUGCAAGCUUUCAUGGAGGCAAAACGUAUAUCACGUUGUUCAUUACUGUAUAACAUCAUGUUUACGCAAAUGUAGUAGGAGGCAAAUGUGCUGUACGUAGGUCCUAUGGCCAGCCGAAUGAACACGCUCUAUUUGUAUUACCUGUGGCCUCGACUUUCUUGUAAUAACUUGUUCUUCUUUAGAACAUAGUGUAUUUAUCACACAACAUGGUCAAGUUGACAUUAUAUUAUUUUGUUGACUUGUGUCGUUCAUAACCACAGGGUUCCAUAUAAAUUGCACAAUUGUUCUUCUCUGCAUCACUGCAUCUUUGUUUAUUGAUGCCUAAUGGUAAUAAUGGCGUUGUAGCUUUAUCAAGUACAUUUGAGGCAAUGAAUAUACAAAAUAUGCUGUGGGAUAUUAUGUUAGUUACUGUAUGUUAUACAUUGUAUUAUUUUUAUGAAAUGAAAGUAUUAUGAUCGAUAUACGAGUAUGCAUUGUAGGAAUAAAAAUAGGCAAACAUGAUAGUACACGAUUUAAUCGCAGUCACUGUCCAGGAACACAUCAUCAUCCUCCUCGCUUUCAUCAUCGCUGGCGACGUUGAUGAUUACGGGUCCCACCGGCUCAUGGAUGUUAUCAGACCUCCAGUACCCUUUUUCAUAGUUUUGAGAAUGUCUGGCCGCUGCCAACCAUACGUCCUUAUUUGCUAACUGCUUGGCCUCUUCUAACCUGGCCUGCAGGUCUGCCCGAGUGAAUUGCCGGAGGGAGGAACGCACAUGGCUCUUCAUGCACCCCCAUACUUGCUCAAUGGCAUUGAGCUCAGGAUGGCCAGGUGGCAGUCGUACGACCUGGUGGCCCCACUCAUGAAUGGUGUUAUCUAUCUUGUACUGGGGCUCUGGGCGGUUCUGCUGACAGAGGAGCAGCAGCUGAUGGCGUGCGGCAGCGGGUGGGAUGGAUAUACUGCGGUGCUCGAGCCAGCUGAUGAGGUCUGCCUUCUUGGUGGCUGUGGUGGGGCAUCGACUCUCCUCUGUCAGUUGGCUGUGGUAAGGUGCAUUGUCAAGCACCAGUACAGAGGGUUCUGGCAGUGACAGCAGGAGGUGGGUCGUUAGCCACCGCUGGAAUAGAUCGCCAUUCAUCUCACCAUGGUAAUCACCCUGGGAGGACUUGGCCGGGUAGCACAGAUAAGAGCCUUCAACAAAGCCGCCGGCCGUGCCACCUGCGACCACUACAAAACGCUCCCCUUCUCCAGGUGGUACCUGUUGACUGUGGGUGGCGCUGGUGACAGCCUGUGUGGUAUCCACCCACUCCCUGCUAUGACCCAUUCUGGUGGUGAACCACGUCUCGUCCACAUAAACCACCAUCAUCCCUUCCUCCCGGUAGUGCUGGAGAGCCCGGAGAGCACCAAUCCGGCGACACACCACAUCAGGGGAUUCCCUUCUCACGUACAUCUUUCGCUGAGAUACCUUGUAUUUAAACCCCAUGGUGUGUAUAAGCCGCCAAACCGCCGUCUCUGAGGUAUGUUCAGGGAUAACACCUUCUGCUUUAAGCUCCAUCGACAACACACUGAGUGUGAGAUGUUGCUUGUCGGCAAACCUCCAAUGAAUGUGACGCCGUAUGGCACCAACUGCAAAGUUGUCAAAGACGGUCGGUGUAAUUGGUGUUGCCGGUGUGGAAAGGGAAGAUGUGUUGGCGUGGUGGACCAUCUGCCUCACUCCUCUCACCGUCAUGCCCAUGGUGUGCGCAACCCGGUCAUAUGGCCUGUUUGGAUAAUGCUUAAUGUUACUAUAA